rnacentral:rRNA from 1 species
AUACAAUGGAGAGUUUGAUCCUGGCUCAGGAUGAACGCUAGCGGGAGGCCUAACACAUGCAAGCCGAGCGGUAGAGAUUCUUCGG